GACAGAGGGUGCAAACGUUGUUCGGAAUUACUGGGCGUAAAGCGCGUGUAGGUGGCGAGGCAAGUCGGGUGUGAAAGCCCUGGGCUCAACCCCAGGAAGUGCACUCGAUACUGCCUAGCUAGAGUCCCGGAGAGGUUGGUGGAACUCUCGGUGUAGAGGUGAAAUUCGUAGAUAUCGAGAAGAACACCGGUGGCGAAGGCGGCCAACUGGACGGUGACUGACACUGAGACGCGAAAGCGUGGGAGCA
rnacentral:rRNA from 1 species